UUUUGGUCAAAGUUGGUGGAAACUGGAAGUUUGCAACCAAAGAUGAUGAUUUCGGUCAAAGUAGAUGUUUUUGGUCAAGGUUGGUGGAAACUGGAAGUUUGCAACCAAAGAUGAUGAUUUCGGUCAAAGUAGAUGUUUUUGGUCAAAGUUGGUGGAAACUGGAAGUUUGCAACCAAAGAUGAUGAUUUCGGUCAAAGUAGAUGUUUUUGGUCAAAGUUGGUGGAAACUUGAAGUUUGCGACCAAAGAUGAUGAUUUCGGUCAAAGUAGAUGUUUUUGGUCAAAGUUGGUGGAAACUGGAAGUUUGCAACCAAAGAUGAUGAUUUCGGUCAAAGUUGAUGUUUUUGGUCAAAGUUGGUGGAAACUGGAAGUUUGCGACCAAAGAUGAUGAUUUCGGUCAAAGUAGAUGUUUUUGGUCAAAGUUGGUGGAAACUGGAAGUUUGCAACCAAAGAUGAUGAUUUCGGUCAAAGUAGAUGUUUUUGGUCAAGGUUGGUGGAAACUGGAAGUUUACAACCAAAGAUGAUGAUUUCGGUCAAAGUAGAUGUUUUUGGUCAAAGUUGGUGGAAACUGGAAGUUUGCGACCAAAGAUGAUGAUUUCGGUCAAAGUAGAUGUUUUUGGUCAAAGUUGGUGGAAACUCGAGGUUUGCAACCAAAGAUGAUGUUUUCGGUCAAAGUUGAUGUUUUUGGUCAAAGUUGGUGGAAACUGGAAGUUUGCGACCAAAGAUGAUGAUUUCGGUCAAAGUAGAUGUUUUUGGUCAAAGUUGGUGGAAACUGGAAGUUUGCAACCAAAGAUGAUGAUUUCGGUCAAAGUAGAUGUUUUUGGUCAAAGUUGGUGGAAACUUGAAGUUUGCAACCAAAGAUGAUGAUUUCGGUCAAAGUAGAUGUUUUUG